rnacentral:rRNA from 1 species
GAACGCUGGCGGCAGGCCUAACACACGCAAGUCGAGCGGUAACAUUUCUAGCUUGCUAGAAGAUGACGAGCGGCGGACGGGUGAGUAACGCGUAGAAAUCUACCUAGUAGUGGGGGAUAGCCCAGAGAAAUUUGGAUUAAUACCGCAUACGCCCUACGGGGGAAAGCCGGGGGAUCUUCGGACCUCGUGCUAUUAGAUGAGUCUGCGUCGGAUUAGCUUGUCGGUGAGGUAAUGGCUCACCAAGGCGACGAUCCGUAGCUGGUCUGAGAGGAUGACCAGCCACACUGGAACUGAGACACGGUCCAGACUCCUACGGGAGGCAGCAGUGGGGAAUAUUGCACAAUGGGCGCAAGCCUGAUGCAGCCAUGCCGCGUGUGUGAAGAAGGCCUUAGGGUUGUAAAGCACUUUCAGCAGUGAGGAAAGGGGUGUCGUUAAUAGCGCCAUCCUGUGACGUUAACUGCAGAAGAAGGACCGGCUAACUCCGUG